GAAAAUAUGGGAAACUAUGAAAAAUUUCUUCUAAUUGGGCACUUUGGAAAUUUGGAGUUAAUAGUGCAACCGGCCAGCUAUAUA
rnacentral:ncRNA from 2 species